rnacentral:rRNA from 1 species
ACACGACUACAUUAGAUACCCCGGGUAGUCCCAGCCGUAAACUAUGCUCGCUAGGUGUCAGGGACGGUGCGACCGUUUCUGGUGCCGCAGGGAAGCCGUGAAGCGAGCCACCUGGGAAGUACGGCCGCAAGGCUGAAACUUAAAGGAAUUGGCGGGGGAGCACAACAACGGGUGGAGCUUGCGGUUUAAUUGGAUUCAACGCCGGAAAUCUUACCGGGACCGACAGCAACAUGAAGGCCAAGCUGAAGACUUUGCCGGAUUAGCUG